CUUUGUUUUUCUGAGACAGGGUCUUGCUAUGUAGUCCAGGCAGGUCUUGGACUACUCUGUGGCCUAUACUGGCCUCUAACUCACAGGAACUUGCAGCAAUCCUCCUGCCUCAGCCUCCACAGUACUGGAAUUACAGGCAUACAAUACACCAUCAUGCCUGGCUAAUAGAAGUGAACUUGAAGAGACCCGGUGUCAAGAUGGAGACAUGAUGGACAGGGCUGCUGUAGUCCGUAAAAUGCAGCUGUUGCUUUUAGAGACCGGCCUUGGAGUUGAAAACUUCAAAGGCGGCAGAUAUGCUGUGGUGACUACAUGAGACACUCAAAAGCACCUCACUUGUUCCUGGG